GGAAGAAACUAACAAGGAUUCCCCUAGUAACGGCGAGUGAAGAGGGAAGAGCCCAAGAUUGAAAGCUGGCGUCUUCGGCGUCCGCAUUGUAAUCUCAAGAAGUGUUUUCCGCUUCGGACCAUGCCUAAGUCCCUUGGAAAAGGGCAUCAUAGAGGGUGAUAAUCCCGUACAUGGCAUGGAGCGCCCGAAGCUUUGUGAUACGCUUUCUAAGAGUCGAGUUGUUUGGGAAUGCAGCUCAAAAUGGGUGGUAAAUGCCAUCUAAGGCUAAAUAUUGGGGAGAGACCGAUAGCGAACAAGUACAGUGAUGGAAAGAUGAAAAGAACUUUGAAAAGAGAGUUAAACAGUACGUGAAAUUGCCAAAAGGGAAGGGUAGGAGGUCAGAGAUGCGUUCUGGGAUUCAGCCUUGCUUUUGCUUGGUGUUUUUCCCAGUUUGCAGGCCAACGUCGGUUUUGGGCGCUGGAGAAGGGUGGAAGGAAUGUGGCACCCCUCGGGGUGUGUUAUAGCCUUCUACUGGAUACAGUGACCGAGACCGAGGACAGCAGCGUACUCGCAAGAGCGGGCCUUCGGGCACCUUUACGCUUAGGGCGUUGGCAUAAUGGCCCUCUACCACCCGUCUUGAAACACGGACCAAGGAGUCUAACAUGUAUGCGAGUCUUUGGGUGGCAAACCCAUAGGCGCAAUGAAAGUGAAUUCAGGUGGGAUCCGCAAGGUGCACCAUCGACCGAUCCUCACGUCUUUUAAGUCAUGGAUUUGAGUAAGAGCAUACCUGUUGGGACCCGAAAGAUGGUGAACUAUGCCUGAAUAGGGUGAAGCCAGAGGAAACUCUGGUGGAGGCUCGUAGCGGUUCUGACGUGCAAAUCGAUCGUCAAAUUUGGGUAUAGGGGCGAAAGACUAAUCGAA
rnacentral:rRNA from 1 species